CUCACUGUGAAAGCCCGGGGCUCAACCCCGAGACUGCAGGGGAUACUGCGAGGCUAGAGACAAGCAGAGGUUGGUAGAAUUCCGGGUGUAGCGGUGGAAUGCGUAGAGAUCCGGAGGAAUACCAGAGGCGAAGGCGGCCAACUGGGCUUGUUCUGACGCUGAGGUGCGAAAGCGUGGGGAGCGAACAGG
rnacentral:rRNA from 1 species